CACCAGCUUCCUUUCCCAUUGUAUUACAACACUGUUUUAGUAGCUGUAAGAAGGAAAAGCAAUACUCAACCUGGCCAGUCUUAACAAUGCCUAAAAUCUGUUGGCAAAUUUCAAACAGGU
rnacentral:snoRNA from 1 species